UACUGCUGGAAAAAAAUAAAAAUGAACUGUAUAAAAAUUUUGGAUCUUUGUCCCUUCCCCCACUGUUUCGGUUACCAUCAUUUGCUUUCUAGAGGAGUGACCCUCCACAAAGAAAAUGAUGGUAACCGACAUGUGGAAGAGCCAAACACACACACACAAUCACACACAUAAUCUACAUCACCUGUGCAGCAGCAGAUGCUCAUCAUCAGUACAGUCAGUGUCUGUCCACACGUCUCUGUUUCUGUUCAACAGGUUUACAGUCCACAACACUUCACUGAUCCUGUAGAGUCGACACACAAAUGAACACAUUAUUAAACACACUGAAUAUCUGAUCUAACAACAGACAAAUAUUACAUGUGUAUUAAAUAUUGCGCCCUCCUGUGGAGAUUUCUCUGAACUUCACGUUUGCAAAUCUUGAAUUUACUGAAUUUGAAAUAUUCGCCCUCUUGUGGUGAUUUUGUGGACUGCGCUGCUGCUGUUCUAAAAUACUGAACGUUUCUCCCUCCUGUGGAGAUAUUUCUGAAUUACACCACUGCGAAUUUGAUGAAUUUAAAAUGUUCGCCCUCGUGUGGUGAUUUUGGUGAAUGACACCACUGCAAAUCUAAUUGAAUGAAUUUAAACACGUCGCCCUCCUGUGGAGAUAUUUCUGAAUUACAGCUUUGCAGAUCCGUUGAUUUGAAGGAUUGUGGUGAUUUUCCUGAACUUCAGCACAGCAGAUGUAAAGCACUGAGAUUUCACUUCCUGUGGUGCAGCUGUAGUUAUGUGUAUUUUCAUCUGAGCCUGGUUCUUUCGAGGUUUUUUUUUUCUUCAUUUUCGCCAAUUGGUGAAGUUUUUGUUGUACAGUUGGCGGUUCAUUUCCGUUGUUUGGUACGAUUGCAUUCAUACCAGAAGUGAACCGUACCAGAGUUCGCUUGAACCGAACCCCAGACCACCUCUUUCAGGCGGACUCGGGUACGGUUCACAUGUGCGCACCCAAGUUCAGAAUAUUGGAAAUAUGUCACAUUGUGAUAUUUAGAUUUCUGUGAUUUAUAUUGUGAAAUGAGAACAAUUUCACCAGAUGACUUGAACGGCUCUAUGUGUACAGAAUUGAUCAUUUUAGAUUGAUUAGGAUGAUUCUGUAGAGGAGAUAAUCUGAAUAAAUUUAAUAAACAAUCUACAAGCUUAGAUAAAUGCAGUGAAGAGAAAGAUAGAGAUGAAAUAAACAAUGUUUUACUGUUUGCUGAAGAGUCUAACCGUACUCAGGUACAGCAACUGAAUAAUCAAAUGUAAAAUAACACUGCAUAGCCUAGAUAACUCAGUUAAAUGAACCGUUAUUAAAGUUACGAAUGGAAGAAUUUCUUGGGCCUAAUCUGAAAAUCAGGAUCUUUAUACCUUUGUUGAUGCCAUUUGUGGCCCUCUGUCAGAGUAUAAUUGCUGUGUGUUUGUUAUUGUAAGGCAGCGAGAUCGGCCAGCCAACUCUAUGUGAGUGUCACAGAACGGCAAACUGUCUUCAGUAAACUCUCUUAAUCUUAUUGAAUCUCCGGCUCGGAGUCUUCUCUUGAUCGGACACACCAGUCGUUUUGCUCUCAACUGUUAAUUUCCCUCCUAACAAUGUGUCUGUGUGUUUAACCACUUUUUAACUUUUACAGCAUAAACUCAACAUCUAAUCAGUAAUAAGUGAUUAUUUUUGCUCUCUUUAUUCAGAACUUCAGCUCAAAUUCUUGAUUAACAAUGUGGAAAUAUCAAACCAAUAUGAAUGUAACAUAAAAGAAUUCCCAAAAGCUGAUGAUUACAGACUCGACAUCAAAUAUUGAUAAAUGAAGUGUAAAACAUGAAUAUUGUACUGUAAAGCGUGUGACUUUCUCACCAUGAUGUUCUUCACUCCAGAUUGUCAUUUAGCCUGUGUGUAAUUAAUGCGCCUCUCAUCAAUAAACAUACAUUUAAUUUAUUUGACGAGCUUUUAUAUUGGGGAUGCAGAAUAUUUUCAUGGCUCACAGAUUUAAUUGACGCAGACACAAAUAAUAAUUUUACCAACAGAAAUAUGAACUCGUUUCCUUCCAUAAAUGCCCUAUAAAGAUGACUGGCUGCUUUUUUAAAUCUUGUGAACUCUGCAAGAGGCAGAUUUGAUCAGUCUUUCUCCAAUAGUAUCUGGAUGCAGACCUAGAUUUUUAAGCUGAAACUGCAUAUAUCAGACACAAUGCACCCAGUUCAGCUAGUGACGUCACUGUGAGGGGUGGGGUUAGGUGUGCGCAUUAAAGCGCAGUUUCGAUCCGCUCCACUAGGCGGCAUCAGCGAGCUUGCUCUUUUAGCCUGAACACCUUUGACAACAGCGACACAGAUCAACACAGGUACACCGUUUUACUGGUGUCAAGAUGAGCUCCAGCAGAUGACAGCUCAGUGCCAGACUCAUAAUGUCAGUCAACAGCAGAUAUUACAGCCCGACAGCGAAGAAAAGCCACACAAAGUGCAGAAAUGCAGAGUAACGCGACUCACCUGUAAGUGACUUUGUUUCGUUGGUUUAGUUUGUGGUGAUGUUGUAGUGUUUGUGUUCAGUCAUUGCUCUCUCUCUCUCUCUCUCUCUCUCUCUCUCUCUCUCUCUCUCUCUCUCUCCUCUGCAGCAGUGAAGAUACACACGUGUGUCUGUUGUGUUUCUGCUGCAGAUCUUUGACCAGCGCUCAACAGCUGAUGCUCCUCCACACACUCCUCCACAUCCAGGCGGAUUCACAGCUCCAGUAAAGAAUCUACCAAGCCAGGUCAGAGGUGUGUAGCAGCAGCUGCCAGUCUGGAUGUAGACUACACCAGUAUUAACCAGUUUCAGAUAAGACGGCUGAGAGUACGAGAAACAGCCUUGAGGAUGAAACAGGUCGUUCUCUGUAGAGCUGCUCGAUAUUGGAAAUAUGUCACAUUGUGAUAUUUAGAUUUCUGUGAUUUAUAUUGUGAUAUGAGAACAAUUUCACCAGAUGACUUGAACGGCUCUAUGUGUACAGAAUUGAUCAUUUUAGAUUGAUUAGGAUGAUUCUGUAGAGGAGAGCAUCUGAAUAAAUAUAAUAAACAAUCUACAAGCUUAGAUAAAUGCAGCGAAGAGGAAGAUAGAGAUGAAAUAAACAAUGUUUUACUGUUUCCUGAAGAGUCUAACAGUACUCAGGUACAGCAACUGAAUAAUCAAAUGUAAAAUAAUACUGCAUAGUCAAGAGCAGUGUUUCCCAACCCUGUUCCUGGAGGCACACCAACAGUACAUAUUUUGGAUGUCUCCCUUUUCUGACCCAUUAACUUCAGGUGUUGGAGUCUCUUCUGAUGUUAUGAUCAGUUGAUUCAGGUCUGUUUGAUUAGGGAGAGGUUGAAAAUGUGUACUGUUGGUGUGCCUUCAGGAACAGGGUUGGGAAACACUGGUCUAGAUAACUCAGUUACAUGAACCGUUAUUAAAGUUACGAAUGGAAGAAUUUCUUAGGCCUGAACUGAAAAUCAGGAUCUUUAUACCUUUGUUGACGCCAUUUGUGGCCCUCUGUCAGAGUAUAAUUGCUGUGUGUUUGUUAUUGUAAGGCAGCGAGAUCGGCCAGCCAACUCUAUGUGAGGGUCACAGAACGGCAAACUGUCUUCAGUAAACUCUCUUAAUCUUAUUGAAUCUCCAGCAAACAAACAAAUAGACUAUGAAUGUAACAUAAAAGAAUUCCCAAAAGCUGAUGAUUACAGACUUGACAUCAAAUAUUGAUAAAUGAAGUGUAAAACAUGAAUAUUGUACUGUAAAGCGUGUGACUUUCUCACCAUGAUGUUCUUCACUCCAGAUUGUCAUUUAGCCUGUGUGUAAUUAAUGCGCCUCUCAUCAAUAAACAUACAUUUAAUUUA